AUGGAGUGGGAGAAUGUUGUGUGUGUACACCAGGACAGAUGGGGUCAGGGAGUGUGUGUGUGUGUGUGUGUGUACCCCAGAACGGAGCGGGUAGCGGAGAGUAUGUGUGAGUGUACAUCAGGACAGAUGGGGUGGGGGAGUGUGUGUGAGUGUGUAUACACCAGGACACAUGGGGUGGGGGAGUGUGUUUGUGUAUACACCAGGACACAUGGGGUGGGGGAGUGUGUGUGUGUGUGUGUAUGUAUUCACCAGAACAGAUGGGGUAGGGGAGAGUGUGUAUACACCAGGGCAGAUGGUGUGGGGGAGAGUGUGUGUGUACACCAGGACAGAUGUGGAAGGGAAGAGUGUGUGUACCCAGGACAGAUGGGGUAGGGGAGAGUGUGUAUACACCAGGACAGAUGGGGUUGGGGAGUGUGUGAGUCUUUGUGUGAACACCAGGACAGAUUGGGUAGGGGAGAUUGUGUGUACACCAGAACAGAUGUGUGUUCACCAGGACAGAUGGGGUGGAGGAGUGUGUGUGUGAGUGUACACCAGAACAGAUGGGGUGGGGGUGUGUGUGUGUGUGUGUGUACCCCAGAACAGAUGGGGUAGGGGAGAGUGUGUGUGAGUGUGUGUACACCAGGACAGAUGGGGUAGGGGAGAGUGUGUAUACACCAGGACAGAUGGGGUUGGGGAGUGUGUGAGUCUUUGUGUGAACACCAGGACAGAUUGGGUAGGGGAGAUUGUGUGUACACCAGAACAGAUGUGUGUUCACCAGGACAGAUGGGGUGGGGGAGUGUGUGUGUAUGUGUGUGUACCCCAGAACAGAUGGGGUAGGGGAGAGUGUGUGUGAGUGUGUGUACACCAGGACAGAUGGGGUAGGGGAGAGUGUGUGUAUACCAGAACAGAUGGGGUGGGAGAAUGUGUGUGAGUGUGUACACCAGGACAGAUGGGGUGGGGGAGUGUGUGUGUGAGUGUGUACACCAGAACAGAUGGGGUAGGGGAGAGUGUGUGUGAGUGUGUGUACACCAGGACACAUGGGGUGGGG
rnacentral:lncRNA from 1 species